rnacentral:rRNA from 1 species
AACCUGCGGAAGGAUCAUUAUUGAAUAACUACAUCUUUAGUUUUUCAUACCCCAUUGUUGACUUACCAUGUUGCUUCCACGUGGACAGGCGUUUAUUCUGCCCUCUGGCUUGUUGUGUUUACCCCACGCUUGACAGGGAGUUGCCCGUGGUAAGACCCCAAUAUUACACUUGAUAUAUAUACUAUAAUGUCUGAAUAAAUCAUUUCAAAUGAAAUAAAACUUUCAACAACGGAUCUCUAGGCUCUUGCAUCGAUGAAGAACGCAGUGAAAUGCGAUAAGUAAUGUGAAUUGCAGAAUCUCGUGAAUCAUCGAAUCUUUGAACGCACAUUGCGCCCUAUGGUAUUCCGUAGGGCAUGCCUGUCUGAGCGUCAGCUCCCCCCAACUCAAACUUUUUUCUUUUCGAAGGAAGCUUGGAUUACUUUGAAGGUGUAGCUUGUCAAAGCUGCUUUUCAGAAAUUCAUAGGCAGUAUGGUUAUUCCUAGACCAGACGUAAUAAUAAUAAAACCGUCUUUUUGGGAAACAAUUGUGCUUGCCUCAACCCACCCAUUAUCUUUUUACUUGGGUGACCUCAGAUCAGGUAGGGAUACCCGCUGAACUUAAGCAUAUCA